rnacentral:rRNA from 1 species
CUACGGGCUGCUGCAGUGGGGAAUAUUGGACAAUGGGGGCAACCCUGAUCCAGCCAUGCCGCGUGAGUGAUGAAGGCCUUAGGGUUGUAAAGCUCUUUCACCCGUGACGAUGAUGACGGUAGCGGGAGAAGAAGCCCCGGCUAACUCCGUGCCAGCAGCCGCGGUAAGACGGAGGGGGCUAGCGUUGUUCGGAAUUACUGGGCGUAAAGCGCGCGUAGGCGGCUGACCAAGUCAGGUGUGAAAGCCCUGGGCUCAACCCGGGAACUGCACUUGAGACUGGUCGGCUCGAGUCCGGGAGAGGGUGGUGGAACUCCCAGUGUAGAGGUGAAAUUCGUAGAUAUUGGGAAGAACACCGGUGGCGAAGGCGGCCACCUGGCCCGGCACUGACGCUGAGGCGCGAAAGCGUGGGGAGCAAACAGGAUUAGAUACCCUUGUAGUC